rnacentral:rRNA from 1 species
GCGAACUCGGUGCCAGCAGCGGGGGGAGGAUGGAGUGGGCGAAGUGUGUUGGGAAUGAUCGGGCGUAAGGAUGGUGUAGGCGGCCGGGACAGUCGGAUGUGAAAGCCCUGGGCGCAACUCAGGAAGUGCACCCGAUACUACGUGGCUGGAGUACCGGAGAGGUUGGUAGAAUUCUCGGUGUAGAGGUGAAAUUCGUAGAUAUCGAGAGGAAUACCUGUGGCGAAGGCGGCCAACUGGACGAGUACUGACGCUGAGACACGAAAGCGUGGGGAGCAAACAGGAUUAGAUACCCUGGUAGUC